AUUGAACGCUGGCGGCAGGCUUAACACAUGCAAGUCGAACGAACGGCGGACGGGUGAGUAAUGUCUGGGAAACUGCCUGAUGGAGGGGUAUAACUACUGGAACCGGUCGCUACUACUGCAUACCGUCAUCUUUGGCCAGAUGGGAUUAGGUAGUGGGUGGGGUAAAGGCUCACGUAGGCGACGAUCCCUAGCUGGUCUGAGAGGAUGACCGGCCAAACUGGAACUGAGACACGGUCCAGACUCCUACGGGAGGCAGCAGUGGGGAAUAUUGCACAAGGGGCGAAAGUCUGAUGCAGCCAUGCCGCGUGAGUGAAGAAGGCCUUCGGGUUGUAAAGCACUUUCAGCGAGGAGGCGGUACCCGCAGAAGAAGCACCGGCUAACUCCGUGCCAGCAGCCGCGGUAAUUC
rnacentral:rRNA from 1 species